rnacentral:lncRNA from 1 species
AAGUCAUGGUGAUCAAGAAAAAUUAAAGUAUCGACCAAAGAAGGUCAUUUGAAACCCUAAAAAGGUACCAACUUUGGAAAAGCAUAAGUAUGUGAAAAAUAAAUCAAUUCUGAAAUUUCUUUUCACCAUCAUAAAAUAGACUAAUCAUGUACAAAUAGAAAAAAGAGUGGCUCCAAAAGGCUUAAGGAUCAUCAAUUUAUGAGCCUUUGAAGUUAUAAAAAACAACAAAAAUAAAUAGGAAAAAAAUACAACAAAUAAAAUGGGUCUGGGGCGAGGGGGAUUCGAACCCCAUACCUUUUGCACACAUAAACC